ensembl:lncRNA
ACAGAUCACAGAGCUUCAACCCAACUGCACUGAACCAAACACUCAUCUCUGUGGGUCAUCAUGUUACAAUCCAAAGGAAAGUCAGUGCUGUGAGAGAAAUCAAAAGCCUCACUGGUUCUGUGCGUCAGGUGUAAGCAAGACAACACCAGCUGUGUAUAACCCACGCACACAAGUCUGUUGUAAUGGAUGUGUAUCUGCAUGGAAGCCUUGGAUAGAUCAAUGCUGUGGAGAGACGCCGUAUGGCUCGGCACAGCGUGGAGUUCUCUGUUGUAAUAACACCUUGUAUGAGGAGAGAGACGAUGGAGAGCAAUGUUCGGAGAUGGGUAUUCCUUACAACCCGGCUAAAGGGACCAUAUGUUGUUCUCAGUUUCACGGCAGCCCAGGACAACACUGCUGUGGGACAGAAAUUUACCGGCCUCGUGCUGAGAUCUGCUGCAAUGGACACAGGCAUCUCAAAUCAGAAAACAUUUACUGCUGUGGGGUCAAAGCCUACAACAUUAAAGACCCACAGAUGAAGUGCUGUGCAGGAACACUGUACAAUCUGACAUCAUUAGAUGAGCAUGGAGGGGACGCACAGUGCUGUGGAUCCAUUCUGCAAAAGCCACAGG